UAAUUACUCAGGAUGGUCAGUACAGACUCCUUGUGAAGGGAGCAUUUGUUUUCUAUAACUGUCUGGCAAAGGACCACAAACGUAGCGUCUUAAAACAACACCUAUUUAUUUGUUACCCUUUCCUCUGCUCAGAGUCCCACUGCCGCAGUCUGUGUUAGCCAGGCUGAGUUCCUCUCUGGAGUCCUGUGAUUGUGGGCAGAAUUCAGUUCCUUGCAGCUAUAGAAAACCCAGCAACUGUUUCUCCAGGGCCAGCAGGGCAGAGUGUCCUCUGAGCAGCAGCGAGGCUGAAGUCUUCCUUUAGGGGGUUCUCAGGAUUAGGGCAGGCCCCUCAACCCAAAAUCACAGUAAGGAGGGGCUCUCGUUACAUCUGCAAAGCCCUCCACCUCUGCCCCGCUGUGUAGGACAUCCAUGGGCGGGGCUGCCCCACUUCGGCCACAUUUGUCCAUUUGGUAGGAAACAAGAUGCACUGAAACACAACGAGAAGACACAAGUGUGUGGACAACGAGAGACAGAAGUCUCAGGGUCACUUUAGUAUUCUGUCUGCCAUGGAGGGAGAUUCCAGCCAGAGGAGAGAGCAGGUGCUGAGGUUCUCAGCAAGAAUUUUCUCAGUAAGUUCAAGCAAUAUCGAGAAGACCAGUAGGGGUGAGUCAGGGGGACUGAAGUCCUUGGGUCACAGAGGGCGCUUGGGGCUGGGUCACGGAGCACAGGUGCUGGCAGGAUGCUGAGCUGGCCUAGGCAACUUCAGAAUGGUGGUGUGGAAAGCACAGGUGGAACAGAAACCAGCGAGGAGACUGUGCAGCAGUGCCUUGUGAGUGAUGGCAAACAGUGGCCCACGUCUGUGAGUAUUUUGAAGGAAUCCACAACUGGGUUUUGCUGACGGGUUGGAUCUGUGCGGUAGAGAAAGAGUCAGUGAUGACCUCGGGCCUCGGAGUGUGGCUCAGCGGCAGUGUGCUCGGUGUGCUUGCCAAGGAUGCGUGAGGUCCUGGGCGAGCUGGAUCCUCAGCGCUAAAAACAAAAGGGGGCAUCUUUUCUUUUUUCUUUUUUUUUUGAGGAGAUGGAGUUUUGUUUUGUUUUGCUUUUUUGAGGCAGAGCCUCACUACUUAGUUAAGGCUAACUUUGAAAUUCCAGUGAUCUUCUUGCCUCAGCUUCCUGAAUGUGGGGAUUACAGGUACCACCAUGCCUGGCUGUUUUUUAAUAAUCAUAGUAGUAAUAAUAAUACUAAUAACCAUUUAUUAAAGCAGAUAUGGAACACUUGCUCAGAUUUUAAUACUGCUUUACAUAUAUUCUGUUUUUGAAAGAAUUCUUAUGUGUUAUUAACCAUAAGUUUCAACUGGUGACAGAUUUAUUUAUUAUUCAUUGGCAAGCACACAGUUGAGAUGGAGGGGGCAGUUUUGGGACAGUGUCUCACUAUGUAGUCCAGGCUGGUCUUAAACUUUUCAUGUAGCCAAAGCUGGCCUCAAACUCAUGAUCCUCCUGCCUCAGCUUCCAGAAUGCUGAAAUUACAGGUGUGUGUAACAAAAGGAGGCUAUCAGACUUUUUACUGUUGUUAUGGUUUAUAUCUGGAUGUCUUCCUCAAAGCCUUGUGAGCUCAAAAGUGGGGCUUUUGAAAGGUGAUUGGAUUCUGGGAGCUUACAGCUGAUUUGCUAUAAUGAGGGAGUCAGGUCACUGCACACAGAUGUAGCCUUGAAGGUGUAUGGUGUCGCCCUUCCUAGUCCCGCCCUUGGCCUCUCUCUGCUUCCUGUUUGCCAUGAGCAGCUCUCCUCCACCAGCACGUCUGCUUGGAGCAAGCCAGCCAUGGACAGAAAUGUGAGUCAAAAGAAACCUCUCCUCUUCUAAGCUGUGGGUGUCUGGUAUUGGGUCCCAGCAACAAGAAAAGCGACUAAGACACAUUUUGGUACUGGAGUAUAGAGCUGUGAUCACCUGACCAUGUGGUUUAGAAGCUUUUGGAACUGGUUCUUAAGAUGUGUUUGAAAAGGUCUGGGGAUGCCUGCUGGAGAAAAAACCCCUAGAAUGAGGUAAGUCAGCCUGCUGGAUGGUCCUGGUCGGAUCUCAGAAGACCAGCAUGCUCACAGGGAUGCAGAUAGUGAGGCCCAGGCUCAGGAGGCUUCAGGUGGGAACUGGCAGUCAGACUCCAAGUCACAUGUGUUAUGCGAUGGCAGAAAAUUUAUUUACAUUUUUCCUGUGUCCUAGGACUCUGCAGGAAAUGGAAGUCAAACCCUUGAGGUAUUACUGCGGGUUCCCAUGGCCCAUUCCAUAUUUUUCUAAUGAAAUGAUGAGUGUUAGCAUCAUGGUAGCCGAAUGUGCAUCCGAGUCACUUUACCCGAGGGACACAGGAAAUGAUCUUUGUGUUCUCUCGUCCACUUUGUACGCCAAACAGCAAGAAAUAGCCCCACCUUGGACAUGGGUGGCACCAGUCAACAGGCCUGUAGCCUCAAUGGAAUAAACAUGGGAAGAAAGGCAGCUGUGGCUUGCUACAUGCCCGCCUCCUCCGCUGCUGUGCCAUGGGCUGUUUCUUCUCUGUGAGGCCCCUCUGCCACAUUACCCUGCCUCUACAAACCUCUACAAACCUCUACAAACUGUGAGCUAAAAAUGAACCUUUCCUCCUUUAAUUAUGGGUGUCAGGUGUUAUGACUCAGCAAUGAGAAAGUAGCUAAGACACUAGGCUUUGUCAAAUUUAAAAUAUUUAAACCAAAGCCAUCGGAGCUAUUACCUUGAGCCCAUUAGCAUAUCCUCUUAAAAAAUAAAACGAAACAAAUUUUGUCAAGGAUAUGAAGGAACUAGAGUGAUUUGUGCUAUUGACACUAAAAUUAUGCAGUUGCCACAGAAAAACAGUAUCACUGCUCCUUUAAAAUGAGAAGUCAGUUUUCGGUGUGUGACAGCAGUUCUGCUUCUGGUUAUCCAACCAGAAGAACUGAAGCAGGGUCUUCCACUCCCACGAUCAUAGUAGUGCUAUUCACGACAGCCAGUGGUGUUACCCUAAAAGAGUAUAGGAGGCUGCUUAGAAAGUUUCCUUAAAAAUCUGUAUUUUCAUGUUGAGUUCUGCCAAACAGAAUUUUGGAGAGUUUUGUAGGAAAAUCUUCUAGACAAACAUAAUUUGUCUACUAUUAAAAAUUCGAGCUGGAGAACCGUGGGAGCAAUGAAACCCAAAAUGUGUAAUAGUCAUUGUACAAAAGAGAGGAAAAGAAAGUGCUCUAAAUAUAUAACUGCAUGUAUAUUUAAGUGUAUAAGAUAGAAAAUGAUAUCACAGAGUUUUAUUGGAUCAUUGAACAGAAAUGUUUGCAGUAUCAUUGUUGGAAUGUCCACUCUACAAGCUUUAAUCUUGUGACUUGAACAAUUAUUUUUAAGAUGGCAAUAUGUAAUCCAUUAACUAGUGAUUUCCUACUGUUCAUUUUAUCUUCUGUAAAUCUGUAUAACUUGUACCCUUUCACUUUUUUUUUUCUUUUCUCCUUAAAUAAAAAAAAAAUUUAAAAAAAAUUUGAGCUGGGUGUGGGGGCACAUGCCUGUAAUCCCAGCAUUUGGGAGAUUGUGGCAGGAGGAUUGCCACUAGUCUGAGGCCAGGCUGGGCUUCAAAGUGAGUUCAAGGUCAGUUUGAACUACAUAGUGAGAGCCCUAUCUCCAACAACAAACCAAAACAAAA